AAGUCGUAACAAGGUUUCCGUAGGUGAACCUGCGGAAGGAUCAUUACUGAUUUGCUUAAUUGCACCACAUGUGUUUUUUAUUGAACAAAUUUCUUUGGUGGCGGGAGCAAUCCUACCGCCAGAGGUUAUAACUAAACCAAACUUUUUAUUUACAGUCAAACUUGAUUUAUUAUUACAAUAGUCAAAACUUUCAACAACGGAUCUCUUGGUUCUC
rnacentral:misc_RNA from 2 species